rnacentral:rRNA from 1 species
UACGUAGGGGGCUAGCGUUGUCCGGAAUCAUUGGGCGUAAAGAGCGCGUAGGCGGCCAGACAAGUCCGGUGUGAAAGUCACAGGCUCAACCUGUGAAUGCCGCUGGAAACUGUCUGGCUAGAGUCCGGAAGGGGCGAGUGGAAUUCCUGGUGUAGCGGUGAAAUGCGCAGAUAUCAGGAAGAACACCAAUGGCGAAAGCAGCUCUCUGGGACGGUACUGACGCUGAGACGCGAAAGCGUGGGGAGCGAACAGG